rnacentral:ncRNA from 1 species
GACCGACGCAAAAAUCCCGGAUGCCCAAUAUGGAUAUGAAAAAGGCCUGACGAUUGGUCUGGCGGCGCUUUCGGGGGCAAAUCGGGUCUGCGA